AUUAAUCAGAACACCUUCUCCCGCAGGCACAGCAAUGGAAGCUUUCAUCAGCAGGGAGAAGUUGCCUCUCCAGACGCUCGUGCCAGAGCUGGCGGCACUCCUCGCAAAUUCAAAGGACGACAGGGAGGUCGUCUGGAAAUUGUUUCUUCUGCCCUUCUUGUGAUCGCCAUCCAGAUGCUAAUUCGACAUAAAGGAACUGGCGUUUUUCAGGCACACGGAUUACGUGACCAACGAUGGGGAGCUGACGCUGUAGCAUAUGUGCCUCGCUGGUAUGAAUAUUAGUGCACUGCAGGAUCUGGACACGUGCAAUGCUGUCCUUCAUCGUCAGUUUCAUAUCUGCUAGUGAUGGAUGGGAUGAGUGCAGUUAGGGAAUUUGGGUGGUCACGAUAAGUGCUGUUCUUAGGGUCCAACACAAUGUUGUUAAAGUUUAAUUUGGAAAAAUUUGGCUUGUCUAUUCUGUGUUGGUGAAUAGAUAAGUUCAACACACAAAGAACUUGAAACGAGAAUACAUAAGAAGAAUACAAAAAAAAUAUGAAUUAAUAGGCCAAGGCUAUGUAGGAAAAAAAUACUGAGAAUGUCAAGAUAUUUGAAGCACGAGAGGUCAGAGUCAUGAGCAAGGCAUAAUAAUCCGACAAAGGAGAGAAGUAGCAAGGCCAGAUUCGGGACAUUUGCGACAUCUGCGUGAACACCUACUCUCGGCUGGAGACUGAAAAAGCAAACCAAACAAGACAGGAUCAUGACAAUUGUAGUUUUCCUGGUAU